UGCAAGUGAUGUUUCUCUCACUGUGGUCUUCCAAGCCUUCGUGGCUUUGACGAAAUUGCAUGAAGGCAACACUCAUUGCAACUAU
rnacentral:snoRNA from 1 species